rnacentral:rRNA from 1 species
GUGUCAGCAGCCGCGGUAAGACGAAGGAUGCAAGCGUUAUCCGGAUUCAUUGGGUUUAAAGGGUGCGUAGGCGGCCCGGUAAGUCAGUGGUGAAAUCUCCUUGCUUAACAAGGAAACUGCCAUUGAUACUGCUGGGCUUGAGUACAGAUGCUGUGGGCGGAAUAUGACAUGUAGUGGUGAAAUACAUAGAGAUGUCAUAGAACACCGAUUGCGAAGGCAGCUCACAAAACUGUAACUGACGCUGAGGCACGAAAGUGCGGGGAUCAAACAGGAUUAGAUACCCCUGUAGUCC